GAAAAACUGAGGAGCUAAUUCAAUAGUUUUCGUACCUCUGUUUAGCAUGUCACUAAAGACUUGCAACGAACCUACCGAUGAAACAAGAGGAUCAUCCUGCAAACGUUGAUUGACGGCUUCAUCCCUGGUUAUGUGUUGACUUUGGACAUCGCUAUCGAAAAGAAAAUUAGGAUGUACCUUGGAAACCAAAGUAAGUGCUUUUCGUAACAAAAAGUUUGGUUCAGUGUCAGGAUGACAACGAAGCAUAGGAGCUUGUGCGAUUACACCAGCCAGCUUGUGACGAUGUGUCCCACUGAUACCAUAACGUAAAGCCAAUCCUCCACCCAUAGAAUGUCCCCAUAAAAAUAGGGGAAGCUCCGUAUCGCUAGCACGAAGAAUUUGAUAAUCCAGGUCAGGAAAUACUAGAGACCAACCACCAGUACAACCCUGCUUCUUUGGACCUCCCUUUCUUGAAUGACCAAAACCUCUCUGAUCAAAGGUAUAAACUUCAAUAUUACGCUCGUUCAAUGCUUCAAAAAACUCUGGAUAAGCAUUGACAUGUUCGCCAAAUCCAUGGAUAAAAACAACACGUGCAACGGGCUUGUCUUUAACAUCAGUCCAAUCUUUUGUAUAUAAAUCAGCCAUUUGAGAGCAAUAGAGCCAAAAACAAUCCUGGAAAUAUCACCUGCGUUCAAUGUUGGUUCUGAGCAGAUAGUGUAACGAGAUUGUUCUGAAGGUGGAUUCCAGAAAGGAUAGAAUGAUUUUAAUAUGAAUGAUAUAUAUGCUUUAUAAAAG